GAUGAAGAACGUAGCGAAAUGCGAUAAGUAGUGUGAAUUGCAGAAUUCAGUGAAUCAUCGAAUCUUUGAACGCACAUUGCGCCCCUUGGUAUUCCAUGGGGCAUGCCUGUUCGAGCGUCAUUUGUACCCUCAAGCUUUGCUUGGUGUUGGGUGUUUGUCCCGCGUUGCGCGUGGACUCGCCUUAAAGCGAUUGGCAGCCGGCAUAUUGGCCUUGGAGCGCAGCACAUUUUGCGCUUCUAGUCAUGAAUGUUGGCGUCCAUUGAGCCUAUACAUUUGCUCUUGACCUCGGAUCAGGUAGGGAUACCCGCUGAACUUAAGCAUAUCAAUAAGCGGAGGA
rnacentral:misc_RNA from 1 species